UCAGGGUGUGGCUGAGCUAGUUAAGUAUCUCACUUACACCGAGAAGACAUCCA
rnacentral:tRNA from 1 species